rnacentral:rRNA from 1 species
UUAAGCGACUAAGCGUACACGGUGGAUGCCCUGGCAGUCAGAGGCGAUGAAGGGCGUGCUAAUCUGCGAUAAGCGCCGGUAAGGUGAUAUGACCCGUUAUAACCGGCGAUACCCGAAUGGGGAAACCCAGUGUGAUUCGUCACACUAUCAUUAACUGAAUCCAUAGGUUAAUGAGGCGAACCGGGGGAACUGAAACAUCUAAGUACCCCGAGGAAAAGAAAUCAACCGAGAUUCCCCCAGUAGCGGCGAGCGAACGGGGAGGAGCCCAGAGCCUGAAUCAGCAUGUGUGUUAGUGGAAGCGUCUGGAAAGGCGCGCGAUACAGGGUGACAGCCCCGUACACAAAAGCGCAUGUGCUGUGAGCUCGAUGAGUAGGGCGGGACACGUGGUAUCCUGUCUGAAUAUGGGGGGACCAUCCUCCAAGGCUAAAUACUCCUGACUGACCGAUAGUGAACCAGUACCGUGAGGGAAAGGCGAAAAGAACCCCGGCGAGGGGAGUGAAAAAGAACCUGAAACCGUGUACGUACAAGCAGUGGGAGCACCCUUCGGGGUGUGACUGCGUACCUUUUGUAUAAUGGGUCAGCGACUUAUAUUCUGUAGCAAGGUUAACCGUAUAGGGGAGCCGGAGGGAAACCGAGUCUUAACCGGGCGUUAAGUUGCAGGGUAUAGACCCGAAACCCGGUGAUCUAGCCAUGGGCAGGUUGAAGGUUGGGUAACACUAACUGGAGGACCGAACCGACUAAUGUUGAAAAAUUAGCGGAUGACCUGUGGCUGGGGGUGAAAGGCCAAUCAAACCGGGAGAUAGCUGGUUCUCCCCGAAAGCUAUUUAGGUAGCGCCUCGUGAAUUCAUCUCCGGGGGUAGAGCACUGUUUCGGCUAGGGGGCCAUCCCGGCUUACCAACCCGAUGCAAACUGCGAAUACCGGAGAAUGUUAUCACGGGAGACACACGGCGGGUGCUAACGUCCGUCGUGAAGAGGGAAACAACCCAGACCGCCAGCUAAGGUCCCAAAGUCAUGGUUAAGUGGGAAACGAUGUGGGAAGGCCCAGACAGCCAGGAUGUUGGCUUAGAAGCAGCCAUCAUUUAAAGAAAGCGUAAUAGCUCACUGGUCGAGUCGGCCUGCGCGGAAGAUGUAACGGGGCUAAACCAUGCACCGAAGCUGCGGCAGCGAACGUAUCACCCAAGACAACUUUACGGAGUUGACGAUUGACGGAGCGAAGCGACGUCAAAGCGUUCAUUAAAGUCGAGUUGGCUUAGGGAUACGUUCGUUGGGUAGGGGAGCGUUCUGUAAGCCUGUGAAGGUGUGUCGUGAGGCAUGCUGGAGGUAUCAGAAGUGCGAAUGCUGACAUAAGUAACGAUAAAGCGGGUGAAAAGCCCGCUCGCCGGAAGACCAAGGGUUCCUGUCCAACGUUAAUCGGGGCAGGGUGAGUCGACCCCUAAGGCGAGGCCGAAAGGCGUAGUCGAUGGGAAACGGGUUAAUAUUCCCGUACUUGGUGUUACUGCGAAGGGGGGACGGAGAAGGCUAUGUUGGCCGGGCGACGGUUGUCCCGGUUUAAGCGUGUAGGUGUGUGUUCCAGGUAAAUCCGGUUCACUUUAACACUGAGGCGUGACGACGAGGCACUACGGUGCUGAAGCAACAAAUGCCCUGCUUCCAGGAAAAGCCUCUAAGCAUCAGGUAACACGAAAUCGUACCCCAAACCGACACAGGUGGUCAGGUAGAGAAUACCAAGGCGCUUGAGAGAACUCGGGUGAAGGAACUAGGCAAAAUGGUGCCGUAACUUCGGGAGAAGGCACGCUGACACGUAGGUGAAGUGAUUUACUCAUGGAGCUGAAGUCAGUCGAAGAUACCAGCUGGCUGCAACUGUUUAUUAAAAACACAGCACUGUGCAAACACGAAAGUGGACGUAUACGGUGUGACGCCUGCCCGGUGCCGGAAGGUUAAUUGAUGGGGUCAGCGCAAGCGAAGCUCCUGAUCGAAGCCCCGGUAAACGGCGGCCGUAACUAUAACGGUCCUAAGGUAGCGAAAUUCCUUGUCGGGUAAGUUCCGACCUGCACGAAUGGCGUAAUGAUGGCCAGGCUGUCUCCACCCGAGACUCAGUGAAAUUGAACUCGCUGUGAAGAUGCAGUGUACCCGCGGCAAGACGGAAAGACCCCGUGAACCUUUACUAUAGCUUGACACUGAACAUUGAGCCUUGAUGUGUAGGAUAGGUGGGAGGCUUUGAAGUGUGGACGCCAGUCUGCAUGGAGCCGACCUUGAAAUACCACCCUUUAAUGUUUGAUGUUCUAACGUGGACCCGUAAUCCGGGUUGCGGACAGUGUCUGGUGGGUAGUUUGACUGGGGCGGUCUCCUCCUAAAGAGUAACGGAGGAGCACGAAGGUUGGCUAAUCCUGGUCGGACAUCAGGAGGUUAGUGCAAUGGCAUAAGCCAGCUUGACUGCGAGCGUGACGGCGCGAGCAGGUGCGAAAGCAGGGCAUAGUGAUCCGGUGGUUCUGAAUGGAAGGGCCAUCGCUCAACGGAUAAAAGGUACUCCGGGGAUAACAGGCUGAUACCGCCCAAGAGUUCAUAUCGACGGCGGUGUUUGGCACCUCGAUGUCGGCUCAUCACAUCCUGGGGCUGAAGUAGGUCCCAAGGGUAUGGCUGUUCGCCAUUUAAAGUGGUACGCGAGCUGGGUUUAGAACGUCGUGAGACAGUUCGGUCCCUAUCUGCCGUGGGCGCUGGAGAACUGAGGGGGGCUGCUCCUAGUACGAGAGGACCGGAGGGGACGCAUCACUGGUGUUCGGGUUGUCAUGCCAAUGGCACUGCCCGGUAGCUAAAUGCGGAAGAGAUAAGUGCUGAAAGCAUCUAAGCACGAAACUUGCCCCGAGAUGAGUUCUCCCUGAGACUUAGAGUCUCCUGAAGGAACGUUGAAGACGACGACGUUGAUAGGCCGGGUGUGUAAGCGCAGCGAUGCGUUGAGCUAACCGGUACUAAUGAACCGUGAGGCUUAACCUU